GCACAGCUCUUCUCUGUUCCCAGCUGCCCUGUCCAACUUUUGAGUUUGUCCAGCAGAUUCCUGGCUCCCCUCACAUCUCCCUGGGUGCCUGCUUACAGGGGAGGACUCUCCAGUGGGGCUUCAGACCCCUUGGCUUUCAUCCACUUUCUGCCCCAGGCUGCGGGACACCUUUUCCCCUGGGCAGCCUGAUCUGCAAGGACCCGGGGGAUAUGCUGCAGGUUCCACACGACCUCCUCGCUGCCUCCUCGCUGCCUCUUUUACAAAGAUGCUGUCAUUUGAAUUCAUCAAGAUCACUGGUGCAUGUUUUCCUGGCUGUGGUGAAGGACCUGUUGCCUAGAUGGCCCUGAGCUCAAGGAUAUUCGUGGUGACACAGAGGCCAGUGGAGUUCUCAACUCACUGAUGAAACCUGAGGACUCUGUGCACUUCACACUGCUGAUAAACUCCCAUCUGCUGAAGUCUGGGAAACACCUAGGAGGGAUGGAGGCCUCUAACAGGAAAUAUUACCAGAAGGCACCUGGCAAAGCCACCUGGAGAAUUUUUUCCCCCUAGUUGUCUCUGGGGGUAGGAAGGACCAAAUCCUGCUAUGGGCAGGUAAGAAAUCCCUUGGGUGUUUUUGUGGUGCCAUUCACCUCCUGCCUUGGUGGCGGCACAGCCUUGUGGACAGAGCCCCUCAUCAAAGGAGCUUCUUGUCCCUGGGGAUGUGCCUUCACUGGGUAUCACACAUCUUCUUGGGCCAACAGCACUGGGAGGCAGCCUGGGGUGCUCUGAUCAACCCAGAUGAGAGUCAGGGCCCAUAACCCUCUGCUGAGGUCAGUUCUGCUGCAAACCAUCCCCCUUUCCCUUCUGGUGCUGCAGCAGAUCUAGGGCAGCCUGGGUUUGGCAACAGGGAGAGCUGAGCUUUGGGCAUCUGGCAUUGCAGCACAUUAAGAGCUGAUGUACAGGGUUGAUUUUUUUGGGGGGUAAGUUAACACAUGCUGCCAAUCCUGCACAACCUCUAAUCCCUUGGGAAUGCUGAGGCAUCACCUGUUUCCUACAGCAAGUAAAAAAAUUAAUUUUUAAAGGAGUUAAUGGGUUUCACAGCCUUGGAUGGGAAAGUGAGGAUGGUGCAAAGACCUGGCAGCUCCAGCUUGCGGUUCCUGUAGGAACCACUGAGUAAUGCUUGUGUCUCCUGCAUGGUGACAUGGCAUUGUGUUAGAGGAGCCACCUGCCUGGCACACCUGGAGCUGGUUAAAGGUCCUGCAAAGCCUUUUCCAGCUUCUGUGGCCUUAUCUGACAGCCCUAAGGUGGGGUAGCAGGGCUAUGGUUUUAUGUAAAUGUUGGCUGUAACCUGAAUUUCUGCUGACAAGCCCUCUUUGAUGAACAGAUAUGUGUGUGGUGUCAGCAGUGCUAGCACUGCAGUUUCCACCUCUGCCCAAGACUCUGCUAGCACUUGAAGUGUGGUUUUGCUUUGGGCAAAUUCACUGGCAUUGCAGACCUGCACCCAGGUCUGGGAUAGACAAAUGGGUGUGGAGGUUUGAAAAUACUAUCUUAAAUAAACUCAUGCUGUGUGGUGACUUGGCUUAGCCAUGGUUUCUGGUGAGCUCCCUGUGCAGGGAGAGUCUCAUCCUCUUCCACUGUGCUGGUGUUAAAACCUGGUUUGGGGAUGUGUCAGCCCAUCCCUGCUCUGUGGCUUUGAGGGUCUUGUGGCAGUCAGGAUGGAGACUUGCAGCCUUCAGAGUACCCACAGGAGGCAACAGCCACUUGCAAUCAAGAGCAGGAUUAACUUAACCCAAGACUUCCCAUUCUUCACAUUGUGUUGGGCCUGAAUUGCCAGUGCCAUCCAAUUUCUGGCAGCACCAAAGCUGAGUCAGACCCUUCUUCCAUGUGUUCCAGUGUUGAGUAGGGGCUUAGCAAAUGACAGCUGACAAGGAAAAAAAUCCUCUUCCUGUUUUAGCUACUCACAUUUAGUGGUUGUAUUAAUAUUCUACUUGCUUGUGGUUAUCAGUGGAAAUGGUUAGGAUAAAUGUGGAAUUAGAAAUUAUUUUAUAGACUAAAACAUCAGAAACAAGCUUCAGUUGUAACUUUAUCCCUGAAAGCAGCCUAGGAGGACUCAAUAUUCUCCUUUUGGCAAAUGAUUGUUAGAAGUGAAUUGAAGCCAGAAGCAAGUGCCCAAUCUGCACAUUUCUUCCCCCAUAAUGCUGUAUCUGUGUAGUGCAGCCAAAGUAGCAGGCUGCAGACUGCCCUUCAAAGUUUUCAAACCCACUUCAGAAAAAAAAAAAAAAUCACAGCAUCUCAACUGUUAUUCAAACACAUUUAAUAAACAAAGAGAAACAGUAGCAAAGGGCACUGACACCUGACAAACUGUACAAAACCUCUGGGUAGGAGCCCACGGCCCAGCUACUCCGGCCCCUGCCCCACAGCCAACCAGGCCCCCUUCGCCUCAGCCCACUCAGUCACCCCUGAGAAAAAUCAGUUUUUAAAAAUGUGCAGAAACAAAGACACUUCAAGAGGUUAUUUCCAGUCUUGCCAUAAUGGAACAAUUUAGGCCACUGGGAAAGUUUUAAAAAAAACUUAAGUGUCAUACACUCCAUUUCCAGGAUUAAUGCUUUAAAGUGAACCUUCCCAAGAGGCAUAAGCACUCUUGGACAGCCAGUAUAUCUACCCCUGCUCUCCUACUCUACUCACCACAACAUGCUACACUUUUUUUAGAGUGAAUGGGACAAAUUUCAUCCUAAUUCAGCACUAAUUUUGAUAUAGUUGUGACUGAGUGAAAGGCAAUGGAAGGAAAAGCCCUGUUUGUGCACAGAAGGGAUGCAACUGGUGCAUAAUGCUGAGACCUGCCCUGUCUCAGGGUAAAGGUGACUUAGCAGAGUCAGGGAAGGAGAAAUCCUUCACUUGGAAUGUACCUGCUCUGGAUGGACUUCAUGCCUGGUCCUAAACAUCACCCAAAAACUUGAACAUCCAGUACCAAUGAUUUAUUUUCUACCAUAAAUUUGUUCUGCUGAAAUUCAACAGACCCUGCAAUGGAACCCCAAGAGUCCAUGGUCCCCUGGCACCUUCUCACUGCCAAAAGCAGCACAAAAGGGAAAACCAAGAUGCAACUCUGAUCUUUCUUGUGCUCAUCAGUUCAGCAGCAGUGGCAUUCACCUGCUAAUGGUCACUUUUAGGCUGUGGCUCAGAGGGGAUCACUGCAUCAGGCAACCCUCCAGUGGGCUUCACCACAUGUGACACAAAGAAGCCAGGGUAGUGUUUGUACUUGAACCAUACUGGACAGAAAGUCUCCCUCUAGCAGCCAGUGUUGCUUUGAGCUCCAUGGUUUAACAAGGUGCUCAGCUGGCAUCAAUGUGGCAAAUACAGCCUGACCAGUUCCUGUUGCCUUUAGUUUGGUAUUUCUUGACCAGUCCCCAAAAACUCCCUCCUCUGAGGAAGGGGAAUAAGACAAAUCAGUGUUAAAGGGCUUUUCAGGCUGCUAACUUGCACACAUGUGCUUGAUUUCUUAGCUAUGAGCACAGUGGCUGAGGCUACAGCAUAGGGACAGAGGAGGGAGAUCUGUACACAUCACAGUGUUGUUCAGGCCCAGCCAAGGUGUAUAGUCUGAUCACACCAACACCAGCUCACCAUGUUAUAAACAGGGCAGAUGGAGGGAAGCAGAGCUGGGUUGUUCAGUGUGAUGGAAAGCCAGCCAUGAUUCAACAGCCUGUCACUGACACAAUGUGAAUUCAAAGACAUUUGGCACAGUCUGUUGUUACCAGGACUAAUCUAGCACAGACAAUUAAGCAGUCUGUCUUGAGAAUGAGGCAAGGGCUCCACUGGAGGAGGUACACUGGCAAAGCAGGAUGGAGGACAGGCAAGAAGACAUGCAGAAAGACUGGAGAGAGGCAGAGCACAGUGGUGCCACUCAGUGUCUUUGCUGCACAUCUUGCUCGCUGAACUGGUUGUUCGACUGUUGGUAGGACCCUCUCAGCAACAAGCGGUUAAGAUGGAAAAGCUGCCUAAUUCUGUGUCAAAACUUUCAGGAGAACAUGGGUAGCUGAAGCCCUCCAGAAAGGAGCCCAACCCCUCAGUCCAGGUGAGGAAUUUUCUAGUAGCUUAUUGAGAAACAUCUGCUCUGAGCUUGUCAAUGUCUGAAUUCCAGCAUUUCUGAAGCUUUGCUGUAAUGUCAGUUUGGGACUGAAAAUGACCCAAGUGCCAGGACACUCAGGCUACAAAGAACAAAGCCAGGAUGAAAGGGGAAAAACAUGCAGCAAAUUUCUAUGAAAUUCCAUUUACCAGACUAGGAGGGACAUGCCCUUGGUUAGGGGUGGCACAGAGUAACAGAGGGGAACCAGUGACUGCAGUUUGGCUAAGAUUAGAAUUCAAGAGAGGCACAAACGAACAUUUUGCACAUCCAUCCAAGGCAUUCCAAAAAAAAAAAAAAAAGGAAAGAAAAGUCACAAAAGUUGACACAUCACUUUGGACAAGAAACAUUACAAUAGUUUGGCAACUUUUCACCAAACCCCCCCCCCCCAGCUCUGUGAUGUCCCUCUGUAAUUUGAGGUGAUCUCUUAAAGGUGGGGACAUGAGGGGGCUGCAGGUAAAUCACUGUGUGUAAAUCGGGAUCUCCUCUGCAAAGGAUCUCGUGUGGGGUCAGACAAACCUACCUGCUUGGUACAGUACAAAAGAAAUUCUGCCUGAAGCCCUCCCUGGUGAGAGGGAAGGAGACAGAGCCCACACUGCUGGAGACAAACAAGGCAAAGCUGAACUUAGCAGCACCAAAUCCCUAAACAUUGUGAUUUUGCACCAGGCUAAGAUAUGGCCAUGGCAGGGUACUGGGGGGGAAGAUGUCACCACUCUUCCUCUGUGGAGAAGUGUAAAGGAUGUGAUUAUCACUCUAUCACUAUUUUGGGUGAACACCGGCCUCUUUGUUUAUGCAUACAAAGUAAUGGGCUUUGGAAAAUACCAGGAGCCCAUGUGGAAUAGUGUUACCAGCAAGACCUGUGUCAGAUGGGUACACAACUCCCCUCCACUCAGAUCUAAACUCAGCUCCUAGGAAUUGAACAAGGAACAGAUACAAAGCAAGGAUAGAAAAGUUUGUGUGGGUUUUUUAGGAGUGAUAGUUUUGUUCCUCCUUUUAAAGCCCUGUUCUUCAGAUUUGGGGGAGAAGGGAGAGCACUGCAAGGUCCCUGCACUUUUCUAGUGGCAGACCUGGGUGCAAGCAAUGGCACAGCUCAAAUAUGGACUUUCCCACCCACAUCAGCCUGUGGAAGGUAGGAUUGAUUACAAGGGCCUGAGGACCUGAGCAACCUUCACAAAGGCUCCGACUGGGAAUUCGGCCCAGCCAUUUUCAGAAAAAUUCAAUACAGCGCUGGCCAAGUAAAUAAAACAAAUACUUGUGGAAAGGACUGUCCAACUGGAAGAGUCUUUUUCUUUCUUGGUUUCCAGGGUAAGAGAAAAGCCUUUGGUUAUGACCAGAAUUAUUUGCCAUUGGCAGGACAGGCUUGGCUUUGCUUUGCAUUAGCUUGGUUAUUGAACAAGGGCUGGGUUGCUCUGUGGAGAGAUGCUCUGCCCAGCUGGACUGCCCUGUGAAAUCUGGGAGUUUAAUGGAGUGGACACUUGAAUUACAUCCGCGAUCCUCGCUCCUGAAGAAUCUGAAACAGAAGAGACCUUCUAUGAAAAGCUCAGACAAGUCUGAAUGCAAAAGUUCCUGUUCAGAGUCCUUGGGUUUUGCAGAGAAAGGAAGCACGGACUAAUGUGAGAGCAGCUUGCAGGCUUUUAUGCCACCACAACUGACAGGCUGGUUAAGGGGGAAUUCAAAUUGAUACAUCUGAGCAGUUGCCUUACCUUGGCCUUCUCACUUGGCUCCUUGACAAUGCCAUUGGUAGAAUUGUUGAGCUCCCUGGACACAACACAGAGGAAUUCUGCCUGGUCUUCAUUUCCGUAGUUAUAGGAAGAUCCGAUGCUGAUCAGCUGUGCAACAGGAGACAGCCAAGGGGCAGGUUUUUGGCCACCUCUCCACUCUGAGAUAGUUUUCAGGCAUUACAGAACAGAUCCAUAGGAACAACUGAUGGGAAGUGCUGUUCCUAAUCCUCUGCCUCACUUCAUGUCAGCACACUUCCCACAGCAUCCAAUUGUACUGAAGCUGGACUAAAUGGGAAGACACUGCUGUAAUCCACAGACCCUAUUCUGCAGUUUCUUGAUAUAACAACACACAGGCCAGCUGGCUCCAGUUCUCCCUCCUCAGAAAUAAGAGAACUGUGUUUGAUUCCAGAAACCAAAUGUGGAACCAAUGCCACAUGCAACUGGAGGGACACCCAGCCCUGGAACUAGGUGCACUGCAAAGACAUCUGCAGGCAUUUCAUGUCACUCAGAGCCUCUUUAGCAAAUGCAGCAGUCGUGGCUUUGAGGUUCCAAGAAAGAUGUGCUGUGUUUUUUCCUGGAUAGAACUGUUAUACUGUGGCCUGGUGUAUGUGAUGAAAUGCAGGAGAAGGGAAGGAAAUGCUCUGGGAUUUGACAAGGAGACAAGCCCUGAGAGAAAAUGAAAUCUCUCUGGCAGCUUCAGUGACUUCUGCUCUCCCCUGUCAGUAACUGGACAAAAGUGGAUUGCUGUUCAGGUCAGACUUCUUAUUCAGAAGAGUAGAGCAGUGUGAAGAGCAACUCAACAAGCAACUCUAUCUAUUCUAUCUACAUCCAGUUCUCAAGGGAAUUCUGCCACUCUUUGGUAAUGGUACCUGUUCAAAUUUCCAUCCGUCGGACAUGGUGGACACCAUCUGUGUGAGCUCUUCCUCUUGGCACUGCAGCACUCUGUACACGUGUUUCACAGGUCCCUGGAGCACAGAAAACAAUGGCUGUAGUUUAGUAAUUGCUUUACUAGUAUCAUGCUAGAAAAUCAGCAUUAGCAUCAUUCCUAAGAUGAGAACCACUCCUGCUCUCAUCUUAGGAAGUCAGAGCCCCACAGCCUUUCUAAGGACUUUUUUAUCCCACUGAUUCCAAAACAGAACCAUAUGCCUGGCACUCUUCUCUUAAAAGCUUUCAAGGUGCCUAAGCUACAGUUAAAGCAAAACUUCUUUAGCUUUCAAAGCCAUUUGCUGCUUUUUGAAAACAUUUCUGAAAUUGAAUCUACUGGAUGUGCUGAUAUCAGCUGAACAUCAAUGGGAAAAACAUGCCACAGAGAGACAAAGGGAAGAAAUGGUUUAGAGAAGGAAGAGUUGGAGUUGUUCUUUGCCAAAGCAGUGUGUUUUGCUUUAUAACCACCCAUGUCUGCUCCUGGCCCUCUCCUCCAGGUGUCCCUUGCGAUUCCCUACAGUGCUGAGAUAACUCAGUGGUCUGUGCUUUGUAAAGCCACACUGAGGACUCUUUGCUAGUCAUGCCCUGCAUCCACCUAACAGCAUUUAUUCCUGUUACUGCUGAACCAAAGAAAUGCUACUUCAAGGGCCUGGAGCCAUGCUUGCCCUGCUGUGCCCCAGAAGUGACUCCAUCACCCGGCGGUGCGUUACUUGAGAGGUUCUGUUCUCGUUGUCCCGUAUCCGCUCCUUCACCAGCCGCACGAGGGACGCGAUGUUGUAAAACUCAGCCUCUUCCAGCACCCCUGAAGAGGAACCCAAAGCACAGAUUCUGCUACUUUGCACAGGAUAGAAUAAAGAUGAUUCUGUCACAAGGAUGCAACCCUGCUGCUGACUCCAAAUCUAGCCCAGAUGUCAGAAUCCCAAAUGUGCCACCCACCCCCUACUCUCAGUCUAGGAGAAAAUGCCUGACUAGCUGUCACCUCCUUUUGUGACUUAAGAGCAUCUUUAAGAAAGAUUAUUCCCCUUUCCCUGCGAUUAUCACAAAUUUCAUGGUACAAUGUCUAUUUCUUCACCCAGCCCCAUCAAGGGAAAGCCCUCAGAGCUGCCUGUUUGGGGAGAACCAUGGUCUGUGAGGGGCAGAUGGGCUGUAACACACCUUGGGCUCAGAACAGUGACAGGGUGUGCUGUGAGCUGCAGCCUCUGCUCUCGGGAAGACGCAGAAUGUGAUGACUUAAUCCCUGCUAAUGAGCAAUUAACAGUACUCUAACAGCACUCCUGGGAAACUUGCUCACACUCUCAUACCAGUUUAUGGUGAGGGCUCCUGGAUGUGCUGUCAAACAGCACCUCCAGCCUUCCCUGUGUUUUUCUCUUACCUUCCUCUGCAAGCUCCUUGUUUAUGAUGAGCUUCCCGUGCCGGAGGUAGUUCAGUAUGGGACCAAAGUACGUGGGGUCUCUGUCAAUGAGAUAGGCCCCAGUCUCAUCCUGAGAGCAAAACAGGGACAGCUCAGUGGUACCAGGAAAAAAGAAUUUCAAUCUAACACAAGAAAUGGAACAGUUUCUCUUUGAGAACCUGGAUUCAUUUGCCUGUGGGAGGUGUACAAAUGUGCUACAUUUAAACCAUUUUUCUUUUUCAGUGUCUGAUCUACGAACAUUGCAGCCCCAGUAAGGCUGGCUAGUGCCUUACACGAAGCACUUAUUCACACAGUUUAUGGACCUGGAGAAAAAAGCAGGGAUUAGAAGGGCUUUUUCACUGCAGUAAGAACCAAAACCUGGCAGCUGUAUUCUGGCUAAGUCUGUUCUCCAGACUAGUUUAACUAGAAGGCUCUGGAGGCAGAUGGGAUCUCCAGUUCUAGCUAAGGGCACCUGAGAGCCAAAACAGUUCUUUUUUUUUUUUCCUUUCCACUACUGCAAACACACAUUGCAAUGCUCCAGCCAUGUGGCCAGCAAUACAACAACAAAUGGCAUUAAAUAUCCAAAAACUGACAGCCAAAAGCAUCUCUUGAGCAGCUUUGAAGCACUGCCAAGCCCUCUGCAGAACUCUCACAUCCCUCUCUUAAGGACUUUAAAGCAUUGUUUCUCAUGCCAAUCUACUCUAAAGCAAUAAGAAACUGUGCAAACCCAGUCUGAAAUAUCUCCUCUCCUCACUGAUGCUGUUGACUGAUAUUUCAGUCACAACCAGGAUUUAUCUUGUGAUUAAACUCCGAAUGGAGCAGCAACAGACUCAACUAAUUCUGGCGGACCCACUCACAACCACCUUGUGCACCUGAUCCUGUGAAAAAUCUGCAAUUGCAAGAAUAAUUGUUUGCAAAAUCCUGACAAUAAACUGCAGUGACUUCAAAACUGUCAAGCCAUGCAAGGAAUGUGCACUAUAAUCUUUUAUGAGAGUGAAGUGAAAUAUGUUAAAAACCAAACCAACAGCAAACAUGCUCAGGGUGAGAAAUUGUAA